AAGAUAGAGGUUGCAUGACUCAUCAGUAUUUUACCGGAUGCUUCGGGAGCAGGGGAAGGUGAAAGAAAGGGAAUCGUGCCGAAAGGAUGCAGUGCCGCAGACUGUAUUCUUGGGCAUAUGGUGAAGAAUCAUAUGACUGUCAUCAAAGUGGAUGGAGCGCUAUCUGA
rnacentral:ncRNA from 1 species